GUGAUGACCCAGAGAUCAUAGCAGAUUACGUUAAAUCUAGCAAUCUGAACGAUUCGAAAGGAAGUGACAAAGCUCGUAACUAGGAUUAUUAUAUACAAGUUCUGUAGUGAGGCAAAGGUUCUAAUAAGGAUAAGUACGAUCAGUAAG